rnacentral:rRNA from 1 species
ACUAAGCGUACACGGUGGAUGCCCUGGCAGUCAGAGGCGAUGAAGGACGUGCUAAUCUGCGAUAAGCGUCGGUAAGGUGAUAUGAACCGUUAUAACCGGCGAUUUCCGAAUGGGGAAACCCAGUGUGUUUCGACACACUAUCAUUAACUGAAUCCAUAGGUUAAUGAGGCGAACCGGGGGAACUGAAACAUCUAAGUACCCCGAGGAAAAGAAAUCAACCGAGAUUCCCCAGUAGCGGCGAGCGAACGGGGAGCAGCCCAGAGCCUGAAUCAGUGUGUGUGUUAGUGGAAGCGUCUGGAAAGGCGCGCGAUACAGGGUGACAGCCCGUACACAAAAAUGCACAUGCUGUGAGCUCGAUGAGUAGGGCGGGACACGUGGUAUCCUGUCUGAAUAUGGGGGACCAUCCUCCAAGGCUAAAUACUCCUGACUGACCGAUAGUGAACCAGUACCGUGAGGGAAAGGCGAAAAGAACCCCGGCGAGGGGAGUGAAAAAGAACCUGAAACCGUGUACGUACAAGCAGUGGGAGCCUCUUUAUGGGGUGACUGCGUACCUUUUGUAUAAUGGGUCAGCGACUUAUAUUCUGUAGCAAGGUUAACCGAAUAGGGGAGCCGAAGGGAAACCGAGUCUUAACUGGGCGUUAAGUUGCAGGGUAUAGACCCGAAACCCGGUGAUCUAGCCAUGGGCAGGUUGAAGGUUGGGUAACACUAACUGGAGGACCGAACCGACUAAUGUUGAAAAAUUAGCGGAUGACUUGUGGCUGGGGUGAAAGGCCAAUCAAACCGGGAGAUAGCUGGUUCUCCCCGAAAGCUAUUUAGGUAGCGCCUCGUGAAUUCAUCUCCGGGGGUAGAGCACUGUUUCGGCAAGGGGUCAUCCCGACUUACCAACCCGAUGCAAACUGCGAAUACCGGAGAAUGUUAUCACGGGAGACACACGGCGGGUGCUAACGUCCGUCGUGAAGAGGGAAACAACCCAGACCGCCAGCUAAGGUCCCAAAGUCAUGGUUAAGUGGGAAACGAUGUGGGAAGGCCCAGACAGCCAGGAUGUUGGCUUAGAAGCAGCCAUCAUUUAAAGAAAGCGUAAUAGCUCACUGGUCGAGUCGGCCUGCGCGGAAGAUGUAACGGGGCUAAACCAUGCACCGAAGCUGCGGCAGCGACGCUUAUGCGUUGUUGGGUAGGGGAGCGUUCUGUAAGCCUGUGAAGGUGUGCUGUGAGGCAUGCUGGAGGUAUCAGAAGUGCGAAUGCUGACAUAAGUAACGAUAAAGCGGGUGAAAAGCCCGCUCGCCGGAAGACCAAGGGUUCCUGUCCAACGUUAAUCGGGCAGGGUGAGUCGACCCCUAAGGCGAGGCCGAAAGGCGUAGUCGAUGGGAAACAGGUUAAUAUUCCUGUACUUGGUGUUACUGCGAAGGGGGACGGAGAAGGCUAUGUUGGCCGGGCGACGGUUGUCCCGGUUUAAGCGUGUAGGCUGAUUUUCCAGGCAAAUCCGGAAAAUCAAGGCUGAGGCGUGAUGACGAGGCACUACGGUGCUGAAGCAACAAAUGCCCUGCUUCCAGGAAAAGCCUCUAAGCAUCAGGUAACAUCAAAUCGUACCCCAAACCGACACAGGUGGUCAGGUAGAGAAUACCAAGGCGCUUGAGAGAACUCGGGUGAAGGAACUAGGCAAAAUGGUGCCGUAACUUCGGGAGAAGGCACGCUGAUAUGUAGGUGAAGUCCCUCGCGGAUGGAGCUGAAAUCAGUCGAAGAUACCAGCUGGCUGCAACUGUUUAUUAAAAACACAGCACUGUGCAAACACGAAAGUGGACGUAUACGGUGUGACGCCUGCCCGGUGCCGGAAGGUUAAUUGAUGGGGUCAGCGCAAGCGAAGCUCUUGAUCGAAGCCCCGGUAAACGGCGGCCGUAACUAUAACGGUCCUAAGGUAGCGAAAUUCCUUGUCGGGUAAGUUCCGACCUGCACGAAUGGCGUAAUGAUGGCCAGGCUGUCUCCACCCGAGACUCAGUGAAAUUGAACUCGCUGUGAAGAUGCAGUGUACCCGCGGCAAGACGGAAAGACCCCGUGAACCUUUACUAUAGCUUGACACUGAACAUUGAGCCUUGAUGUGUAGGAUAGGUGGGAGGCUUAGAAGUGUGGACGCCAGUCUGCAUGGAGCCGGCCUUGAAAUACCACCCUUUAAUGUUUGAUGUUCUAACGUGGACCCGUAAUCCGGGUUGCGGACAGUGUCUGGUGGGUAGUUUGACUGGGGCGGUCUCCUCCUAAAGAGUAACGGAGGAGCACGAAGGUUGGCUAAUCCUGGUCGGACAUCAGGAGGUUAGUGCAAUGGCAUAAGCCAGCUUGACUGCGAGCGUGACGGCGCGAGCAGGUGCGAAAGCAGGUCAUAGUGAUCCGGUGGUUCUGAAUGGAAGGGCCAUCGCUCAACGGAUAAAAGGUACUCCGGGGAUAACAGGCUGAUACCGCCCAAGAGUUCAUAUCGACGGCGGUGUUUGGCACCUCGAUGUCGGCUCAUCACAUCCUGGGCUGAAGUAGGUCCAAGGGUAUGGCUGUUCGCCAUUUAAAGUGGUACGCGAGCUGGGUUUAGAACGUCGUGAGACAGUUCGGUCCCUAUCUGCCGUGGGCGCUGGAGAACUGAGGGGGCUGCUCCUAGUACGAGAGGACCGGAGUGGACGCAUCACUGGUGUUCGGGUUGUCAUGCCAAUGGCACUGCCCGGUAGCUAAAUGCGGAAGAGAUAAGUGCUGAAAGCAUCUAAGCACGAAACUUGCCCGAGAUGAGUUCUCCCUGACUCCUUGAGAGUCCUGAAGGAACGUUGAAGACGACGACGUUGAUAGGCCGGGUGUGUAAGCGCAGCGAUGCGUUGAGCUAACCGGUACUAAUGAACCGUGAGGCUUAACC